rnacentral:lncRNA from 1 species
GUCCAAGAUCAGCCAGCCAGCACGACUGGGUUCUGGUGAGGGCUCUGUUUCUGGCUUGCAGAUGUCUGCCUUCCCACGGUGCCCUCGCAUGUAUUGGAGGUGUUUCCAUUUUGAAACCACAUCUCUUAACUAAACGAGUUGAUUAGAGAAAUGAGCAAAUUAACAAGGUCAAAAGAAGGUCUUGCCCUGAAGGCACAGACUUGAAGUGUUCAGCUGAUGGAGAGCUGAAUGCCAUGACAACCAGGUGCCAAGGAACUUCAGAAUCUCCAAAUGGAAGUCUCCAAAGCCCCUGAUUCACCAGAAAGAGAGAAAACCAUCCACUGGCCACCACACUGUUAUAUGAGCAGAACACAAACUCCUGUUGUGUUUGAGCCUGUAAACAUUCUGGGCAGCAGAUUAUCCUCUUUAACAUACAAAAUGAUGCCUCAAAUAUGCCUACAAACAAGUAAAAUCAGCUAUCCAGAAAGCUACUCUGUGCCAUAGUUUCUUUAUUUCUAUUUCUGCAACAUGAGGCACCCCAGUGUCAACCAGGGACCGC